rnacentral:rRNA from 1 species
GAAUAUUGGACAAUGGGGGCAAGCCUGAUCCAGCCAUGCCGCGUGUGUGAAGAAGGCCGUUUGGUUGUAAAUCACUUUAAGCAGUGAAGAAGACUCCAUGGUUAAUACCCAUGGACUGUGCCAUUAGCUGCAGAAUAAGCACCGGCUAACACUGUGACAGCAGACGCGGUAAUCCAGCGGGCGCAAGCGUUAAUCGGAAUUCCUGGGCGUAAAGCGAGCGUGGGUUGCUUGAUAAGUCAGGUGUGAAAUCCCCGGGCUUAACCUGGGAACUGCAUCUGAUACUAUGAGGGUAGAAUAGGUGAGAGGAAGGUAGAAUUCCAGGUGUAGCGGUGAAAGGCGUAGAGAUCUGGAGGAAUACCGAUGGCGAAGGCAGCCUUCUGGCAUCAUAUUGACACUGAGGUUCGAAAGCGUGGGUAGCAAAC